rnacentral:rRNA from 1 species
GAAUUCCUACGGGGGGCAGCAGUGGGGAAUAUUGGGCAAUGGGCGCAAGCCUGACCCAGCAACGCCGCGUGAAGGAAGAAGGCUUUCGGGUUGUAAACUUCUUUUCUCAGGGACGAAUAGAUGACGGUACCUGAGGAAUAAGCCACGGCUAACUACGUGCCAGCAGCCGCGGUAAUACGUAGGUGGCAAGCGUUAUCCGGAUUUACUGGGUGUAAAGGGCGUGUAGGCGGGGACGCAAGUCAGAUGUGAAAACCACGGGCUCAACCUGUUGCCUGCAUUUGAAACUGUGUUUCUUGUGUACUGGG